UGAAUAGAUGCAUUCAGAACAGAAGUCUACUUGUAAGCAGCUGUGGUCAGAGCAUAUUAAUUGUUCAGUUUUAUGACAUGUGGAAGUGUAUAAUAUGAUAAGAAAGGCAACAACAACCAGAAAAGGCCUCUUCUGUUUCUUACUAUCUUUGUUGUCAGUUUUUAAAUCAAUACACUAUUUUCUUAAUAUCAUAGGGCAUGGAGUUCAAAUGCAAACAGGUGAAGAGCUGGCCUACUAGAUAAUGAGCACAAUGGAUAACCUACUUGGCAAAAGAAAAUUGAAAGAUUUUGGAAAAGUAAACCUUAGAAGAAAUACAACUAUUACCUAUGAAUAUUAUAGGGAGUAAAUGCUGGAGAAUCAAUAUUUAAGCAAAAAGAGAUGGCAAUGGGUUCUUGGCUUGAGAUCCCUCACUGCUGUCCAGGUGGCAGUGCUGCACCAUAUUUAGCAGUUCCAUAAAGUCUGCAGAUUUACAAACUUCAAGGAAAUGUCAGAAUGCCAUACCAUCAAUGCACAACAUUUGAAGUGGAGGCGGCCAAAAUUCCAGUCUUUCUUCACUAGGUUCACUGAAGGAUCAGAGGGAAUUUUCACCUCCUAGAUUGGAUUAUGUGCUCUGGACAUGACUUACAAUACAUGCCAAAAUGGAACCUGGGAACACAGCAUCCCUUCUAGUGCCUUCCUUUCUGCUGGAAGACGCUCUCGUCUGCAGAGUGGUGAUGUGCAACAGUACAGUCACCUUGUCACAAGAAGCAGCUGUCAGGACUGAACCUGCAUUGCCAAGUCCACCUAGUUGACAGAUUGUUAGCAAGCAAGAGAAAGCCCUGCCUAAAAGAUGUGAAACUAAAUCUCCCUACCAUUUUUCAGUUAGCUGAAGAGAAGAAAGUGUAAGGGGUGAAACUAGGUAGAAAGAGCUAUGAAAAGAAAGGUCUUCAUAUGCAACACUCACACGUCCUCUUAUGGAAUUGUUUUUGUGGAAGAGUAUGUGGGUUGAAGUGAAAAGGAGGUGUGUUCAGCAGAAUUAGUGUCUCAUACAAAACCAAGUGUAGUUGUCAUAUAAUCAUAGAAUGGUUUGGGUUGGAAAGGAAUCUAAAGAUCA